GAAGUCAUCCGGGUGGCCGCUGGGGUCGAGAGGCUCCAGAGGAAAGUCCGGACUCCAGAGGGCGACGAUGCCGGCUAACGGCCGGGCGGGGCGACCCGCCGGAAAGUGCCACAGAAACAUACCGCCGAGCGCCCACCGGCGCGGCAAGGGUGAAAUGGUGCGGUAAGAGCGCACCGGGGCGGCGGAGACGCCGCCGCCGGGUAAACCCCAUCGGGAGCAAGGCCAGGGGGGCGGACGAGGCCCGCGCCGUCGCCUGAAGGCGCGGGCGGACGCCCCCCGUCGCGCCGCUUGAGGCGUCGGGCAACCGGCGUCCCAGAGAGAUGGCCACACAGACACAGAAUCCGGCUUAAAGGGUGACUUCGCCC
rnacentral:RNase_P_RNA from 1 species